GACUAAACCAGGACUAAACCGGGUCUAAACCAAGACUGAACCAGGACUAAACCAGGACUAAACCAGGUCUAAACCAGGUCUAAACCAGGACUGAACCAGGUCUAAACCAGGACUAAACCAGGACUAAACCAGGUCUAAACCAGGACUAAACCAGGACUAAACUAGGUCUAAACCAGGACUAAACCAGGACUAAACCAGGACUAAACCAGGACUAAACUAGGUCUAAACCAGGACUAAACCAGGACUAAACCGAGUCUAAACCAGGUCUAAACCAGGUCUAAACCAGGUCUAAACCAGGACUAAACCAGGUCUAAACCAGGUCUAAACCAGGACUAAACCAGGUCUAAACCAGGUCUAAACCAGGUCUAAACCAGGUCUAAACCAGGACUAAACCAGGUCUAAACCAGGUCUAAACCAGGUCUAAACCAGGACUAAACCAGGUCUAAACCAGGUCUAAACCAGGACUAAACCAGGUCUAAACCAGGUCUAAACCAGGUCUAAACCAGGUCUAAACCAGGUCUAAACC
ensembl:lncRNA